rnacentral:rRNA from 1 species
CUACCCUUGACAUGCCAGGAAGUUGGCCGAGGGGUCGAUGUGCCCGAAAGGGAACCUGGACACAGGUGCUGCAUGGCUGUCGUCAGCUCGUGUCGUGAGAUGUUGAGUUAAGUCCCGCAACGAGCGCAACCCUUGUCAUUAGUUGCUACAUUCAGUUGGGCACUCUAAUGAGACUGCCGGUGACAAACCGGAGGAAGGUGGGGAUGACGUCAAGUCCUCAUGGCCCUUAUGGGUAGGGCCUCACACGUCAUACAAUGGCGCAUACAGAGGGUUGCCAACCCGCGAGGGGGAGCCAAUCCCAGAAAGUGCGUCGUAGUCCGGAUCGGAGUCUCAACUCGACUCCGUGAAGUCGGAAUCGCUAGUAAUCGCGGAUCAGCAUGUCGCGGUGAAUACGUUCC